AUGAACGCUGGCGGCGUGCUUAACACAUGCAAGUCGAACGCGAAAGGGACUUCGGUCCUGAGUAAAGUGGCGCACGGGGUGAGUAACGCGUGGAUAAUCUGCCCUUAUGGUCGGGAUAACAGUUGGAAACGGCUGCUAAUACCGGAUACGCUCAAAAUGAACUUUUUGAGGAAAGAUGGCCUCUGCUUGCAUGCUAUCGCGUAAGGAUGAGUCCGCGUCCCAUUAGCUUGUUGGCGGGUAACGGCCCACCAAGGCAACGAUGGGUAGCCGAUUUGAGAGGAUGAUCGGCCACACUGGAACUGAAACACGGUCCAGACUCCUACGGGAGGCAGCAGUGGGGAAUAUUGCGCAAUGGGCGAAAGCCUGACGCAGCGACGCCGCGUGAGGGAUGAAGGUUUUUCCGGAUCGUAAACCUCUGUCAGAAGGGAAGAAACUACAUUGUGCUAAUCAGCAGUGUACUGACGGUACCUUCAGAGGAAGCACCGGCUAACUCCGUGCCAGCAGCAGC
rnacentral:rRNA from 1 species